rnacentral:rRNA from 1 species
ACGAACGCUGGCGGCGUGCCUAAUACAUGCAAGUAGAACGCUGAAGGAGGAGCUUGCUUCUCUGGAUGAGUUGCGAACGGGUGAGUAACGCGUAGGUAACCUGCCUGGUAGCGGGGGAUAACUAUUGGAAACGAUAGCUAAUACCGCAUAAGAGUAGAUGUUGCAUGACAUUUGCUUAAAAGGUGCAAUUGCAUCACUACCAGAUGGACCUGCGUUGUAUUAGCUAGUUGGUGGGGUAACGGCUCACCAAGGCGACGAUACAUAGCCGACCUGAGAGGGUGAUCGGCCACACUGGGACUGAGACACGGCCCAGACUCCUACGGGAGGCAGCAGUAGGGAAUCUUCGGCAAUAGACGGAAGUCUGACCGAGCAACGCCGCGUGAGUGAAGAAGGUUUUCGGAUCGUAAAGCUCUGUUGUAAGAGAAGAACGAGUGUGAGAGUGGAAAGUUCACACUGUGACGGUAUCUUACCAGAAAGGGACGGCUAACUACGUG